rnacentral:misc_RNA from 1 species
AAUUCCUCAACCUCUCUAGCUUUGUAAAAGCUGGCUAGGCUUGGAUUAUGGAGGUUGCUGGCUUCGAGAAAUCAGCUCCUCUGAAAUGCAUUAGCAGAACCUUUGCUGAUCAUCUUUGGUAUGAUAAAUUAUCUAUACCACAGACAAUUAGCGUCCUGCAUUGGAAGAGCUCUGCUUAAAAUCGUUUCUAUUGAGACAAUUUGACA